rnacentral:piRNA from 1 species
UGAGCUGCUCUCCAUGACAUCUUUAUGCCUU